ensembl:piRNA 21ur-4283 ncRNA
UAAUUCUAGGCGGAUCAAAUC